rnacentral:tRNA from 1 species
ACCUGGGUGGCUCAGUCGGUUAAGCGUCCGACUUCAGCUCGGGUCAGAAUCUCACAGUUUGUGGGUUCAAGCCCCGCGUCAGGCU